CGCCGGACCCCCGCAGCCGGCGGGAGCCUGCUGGACCCAGACUCACGCAUCCAUGUCGGGGGAGGGCAGGCACGUCCAUCUGGCCGCCGGGAGCCCUCAGCGCGCCCGGAAGGCGGAAGGUGGAGGAGGGAUCCCGCCACUACGCUCGGAAACCAGAGUCACCCGCCAGAUGCCAUGAAAUGUUUCAAAAGAGCGUAUAAAUAUUAAAAAUAUUGACUGGAAUCUGAACAUUUUACUCUAGUGAUGGAUAUCAAAUUGGUUUUAUGCAAAAUGCCUGCCUAAAAAAUGAGAGAGCACUAUGCUUUAUCAUCUCCAUCUUUGUAAUUAUCUCAGGAAAAAGGAAGAGGAAAGAAUGAACAUUUGUACAAAUGAGAUUCACCUCUCUUAACAGGUAAGGCAAGAUGAACCGCACUGCUGUGUAGACCUUCAGCUGUCUCGAGUCCAGUCCAUUCAGAUGAUGCACAUUCAGAUAAAUCCCAACAGAACAGACCGGCCUCAGAAUUUCCAUGAAGAUGGUUGUGCAUGACUUUAAUUCUUCCAAUUGCUGUAUUUCAAAGCGUUGGAGACUAACUUGUUAAAAAUAAAAAACCUGGGA